UUAAAAAGAAAUUUGUGCCUUUAUUAGAAUGUUGUCAGUCUUUAUAUGCCAAUUUUGAUAAAUUAUUGUUGUUUUGUUUUUUAUAAGAAAUGAUACUACAGAACUGCAAUACUGGUCCAACACUCUUGUCUUUACUCUUCUUUUAAAGCAAGAAGCAGUGGCGUGAUCUCGGCUCACUGCAACCUCCGCCUCCCAGGUUCAAGCGAUUCUCCUGCUUCAGCCUCCAGAGUAGCUGGGAUUACAGGCAUGUGCCAUGAGGCCCGGCUAAUUUUUGUAUUUUUAGCAGACACAGGGUUUCACCAUGUUGGCCAAGCUGGUCUCGAACUCCUGACCUCCAGAACGCCUCCCAGGUUCAAGUGAUCCAACUGCCUCUGCUUCCCAAAGUGCUGGGAUUACAGGUGUGAGCCACCAUGCCUGACCCUAUAUAGAAAUUUUUUUUUUUUUUUUAAUACAAAGUCUCGCUCUGUUGACCAGGCUGGAGUGCAGUGGCACGCACGGCUCACUGCAACCUCCGCCUCCCGGGUUCAAGAUUGAGGCUGUGCCUCAGCCUCCCAAGUAGCUGGGACUACAGCUGAGUACCACCAUGCCCGGCUAAUUUUUACAUUUUUACUUAGAUUUCUGUAGUGAUCUUCAAUAUUCUGGUCUUUCCAUUUAUUAUUUGUCAAACUAUCUUAACUGUACAUGUAAAAUUCCUUCAGCUGGUACAUUUUAAGAUUUCUUACAAUACUUAACUAUAAUGAAUUAUUGUACCAAGUAAAAAACUAAUUCCUGGCCGGGCGCAGUGGCUCAUGCCUGUAAUCCCAGCACUUUGGCCUUGAAGAGUUAGCCUCGGACACAGGGUGGAGAAUAGCAGACACUGCAUCCAAUCUAUUUGGAAAAUGUGGGGGAAA
rnacentral:lncRNA from 1 species